GUUUGGUUUGCCAUCACUUUUUGUGACUUUUCUGACAUCUGCAAGUGUCGGAAGUGUGACCUGAAACAUUUAAGGACACUUCUGCCUGAACCAUGGGCAGAUGUUUAGACUCCAAGAUACAGAGGAGGAGGGUCUUGGAGGUUUCUUAGUAUAAGUUCCUCCCUGUGGUACUUGCAGUUCCUACAAGGGGCUGUCAGAGAAACAAGCCGGAGAAGAGCAAGACAUGGUCCUGGUGCAUGAAAGGAGCCUAAGAAAGAAGAGUGAAAGCUGCACGUGUGUGAGUAUCUAGCAGAACAUCUAGAAAAUGCACACCAACCUCCAGCAGCAGAAAACAGUCUACCUCCAGAAAGCCAUAAAAGAGAAAAGAAUGUUGUACCAAACUAAGCAAAUGAAGCAUGAAAUGAAAAGCCGGUUGAGCUGGGAGGUAUAAAGAAUGGAAAGGAAGCAGCUACCACCCCUGGUAACCCCAUCAAUCCGGAGAAGCUUCGCAGAGUUACACUGUGCUCUGUCGGAGGAAGUCUAAAAUAACACAUGGGUGUCUCGGCCUUGGCACAGCUAAACCCUGGAACAUUGAACUGAAGUCAUAACAAUGGGUAAUAUUUUAAUAUAAUGAAAAAUUAUCAUUAACUUUUCUCGACAGGAAGGAAAUGAAUUUUCCUCAUUGUACACAUUCCGAGAAAAAUGAGGCUAAGACUAUUUCAAAGGAUGUUCUACCUAAUUCGAAUGGGCUUUAAGUGCCAUCUUCACAAUAGCGCCAGAGUCUGGUGUCAGCAAACUGAACAAAUAGAGCUACAGGGAGCGAAUGGGGCUGGGUGCCUCUCCAAAACAUAUGCAGAUGAACUUGAGAUUUCAGAGGACGGUUAAUCCUACACAGCAGUCAAGUGCCUUCCCAGGGGUAUGUCUCAGAUCUCAGGGCUCCCUUCCAAACACUGGCUGCCACGUCAAACCAAAGGGGACGAGCAAUCAGACUCACCUCAAACGCCAGUUAAGAAAGCCGGCCUUACUUAAGCAAUCAAGGGCAAGUGAUCAGCCAACUCUGCUUUCUUUCCUUUCUCUUGGAUCAUUUAUAGACCUUGUGGCCGUGGCCACCACAUUGAGAAGCCCUUGGUCUCUACUUGGACUCACUAUAGCAGGU
rnacentral:lncRNA from 1 species